CGUGAGGAAUUUGACUCUGGUACAUCGGCUCUUAAUGUAACAAAGCCAUGUGAGAAACUGACUGUGUGAGCCUGAAGGUCGUUUUCUAUCUUUCUUGUGUGCCAUGAUACACCUGACAACAAAAUGUUCCAGAUGAAGUGAGACUCAACUGUCAACCGUAGGCUAAACAUGUUUUUCCAUUAUGAUUAGCUUCUAGGUCACGCUAUCAGGGCUUGCCUUUUAACUAUAUAUUAUGCUGUGUGAACCUACCUUACUCAGAGAACUCUGUACCGUUGUGCUGACUUGUUUCCUUGCUGCAAGAAUUAAACGGCUUAAGACGA